UCAUGUACAUGGUUAACUGACUGAUUGCCCCCCCCUCCCAGGCUGGCAGUCCAUUCAGGGAGCCCCUGAUCAAGUUCCUGACGCAUCCCCCAUCUCAGACUGUAGAGUUGUUCAUGAUGGAGGCCACACUCAAUGACCCACAGUAGAGCUACAUGUUCAUGAGCUUCCUGAAACAUAAAGAAGCCAAGCCCCUGACGGACAUGCUGGCCUCCAACCCCAGCCGCUUCACCCCCCUGCUGGUACUGCAGCCACAGCCAGGUCUGGGUCCUCCACCACCGACACCGCAAGGCUCGACCUGCAGUUCCAGGCCAUCAAGAUCAUCAGUAUCAUAG
rnacentral:lncRNA from 8 species